GUGGGGAAUUUUGGACAAUGGGCGCAAGCCUGAUCCAGCAAUGCCGCGUGCAGGAAGAAGGCCUUCGGGUUGUAAACUGCUUUUGUACGGAACGAAACGGUCCUGGUUAAUACCUGGGGCUAAUGACGGUACCGUAAGAAUAAGCACCGGCUAACUACGUGCCAGCAGCCGCGGUAAUACGUAGGGUGCAAGCGUUAAUCGGGAUUACUGGGCGUAAAGCGUGCGCAGGCGGUUUUGUAAGACAGGCGUGAAAUCCCCGGGCUCAACCUGGGAAUGGCGUUUGUGACUGCAAAGCUGGAGUGCGGCAGAGGGGGAUGGAAUUCCGCGUGUAGCAGUGAAAUGCGUAGAUAUGCGGAGGAACACCGAUGGCGAAGGCAAUCCCCUGGGCCUGCACUGACGCUCAUGCACGAAAGCGUGGGGAGCAAACAGGAUUAGAUACCCCUGUAGUCC
rnacentral:rRNA from 1 species